GGGGGCAGGGGAAGACAGAAAAAAGCGGGUGCCAUAUCGAUUUCCUGAGCCUCCUCUGUCCCCG
rnacentral:pre_miRNA from 1 species